rnacentral:rRNA from 1 species
UACGAAGGGGGCUAGCGUUGCUCGGAAUUACUGGGCGUAAAGGGCGCGUAGGCGGCACUGUUAGUCAGGCGUGAAAGUCCUGGGCUCAACCUGGGAACUGCGCUUGAUACGGCAGAGCUAGAGGAUGGAAGAGGCUCGCGGAAUUCCCAGUGUAGAGGUGAAAUUCGUAGAUAUUGGGAAGAACACCGGUGGCGAAGGCGGCGGGCUGGUCCAUUACUGACGCUGAGGCGCGACAGCGUGGGGAGCAAACAGG